CCUGGGUUAGGGAGAAGAAGGCCGAGGCCGCGUCCGACGACAUGUUAGCCUUGGUUUCGGCGAUUGCCUUGGCAUAGUCGCGGAAUUUUACCUGUUUGGGGUGGUUAAAGGGGGGGGGGGGGGAAAGGGUUGAAUGUUAGCACGUACACGUAGCAGCAGGGCGAAGUUCCAGGAUU
rnacentral:SRP_RNA from 1 species